rnacentral:misc_RNA from 1 species
AGUUGAAAUGUUAAAUGAAGUACAGAAAAUGAAAAAAGGCUCAGAAAUUAAUCUCUCGGCUCUUGCAAAGAAAUACAAAAUUGAUGGAUUAAACGGUAAUAUGGUUGUCCGUGAGUUCUUGGAACAAAAUAAUGUUGAUAUAACCGCCUUUAGUAGUACUAAACUUAAUAAAACUAGAGUAAGAAGAAAACUCAAUAAACUAUCAGGCAGUGGAAUAUCUGUGCCAAUCCCACGUUCAUUUAAAAAUAUUAAAGAAGAUUUAAAUCAAAAUAUCACUUCUGGAAAAUACAUAUUAGGAACAUUGAUUGAACCUAAAAAAUAUUCAUCAAUUUCUACAGAUAAACAUGGAAAAAUAGAAAUUUCCAAAUCUUCUAUUUCAGGUAGAAAGAUUUCAUUGCAUGAAUUACGCAAAAAGAUUUUUGAAAAUCAUAUAUCGCAAAAAAAUUAUUCGAGAAAAUCCGACAGGAAUAUAUAGCAGAAAUUUGAUAAUUUGGUCUGAUCAUGCUUCAAUUUUAAACUCGGGUCACUUAUUACUCACUGUCAAACCAAUUUAUGAUGAUGAACUGUACUAUAAUGAUAAGGAAAUGUUUGACAAAACUGGUAACCAUUACAAUGUCCAAGAGUUGGUGGAAACUCCUCAUUUGUACAUAUUUGGAUGCAUAAAUGACACAAUUGCAGGGAAACUGUUUUAUGUAGAGUCUAGAUUAGAAGAUAUUAAAGAUUUGCAUAUUCCCAUAAAAAUUAACGGAAAAGAAAUUCAUGACGUCUUAAGAUUUUUUCACGGUGAUCAUCCAGAAAUCCAAUUUGAAGCUGGAAAUCUUCAUGGUGGUUAAUAUCCAUGCUUAUGUGGGUGUAAUGUUAAUCAAUUUACAGAUUUACCAAUUGUUUAUUCACAUGACAUCAUAUCAUUAGAAGAUACAAGG